AUGGCAGACACACGUGCCAAAGUUCAGAUCACAGUGGACAGAUUGGAAAAGGAAGUAGCUGAAUUCAGAGAAGAGCUAUCGGAUAUGAAAGGAUUGAGAACAGAAGUACAACAAUUACGCUCGGAAAUGGUGACUAUGCCAAGGGUAGAAGCGAAGUUGACAGAGAUGAACACGGAAAUUCAGAAGACACUCAACUUGAUCUUGCAAAACAUGUCCUUAGGCAGUCAGAAGGUCGAGCCAGCAACACCGAGUGAUGUUCCUCAGGUGUGUUCAGAAAUGGGAACAAACAGUCCACAAGGAUCAUCAGUUCCUAUUCAGACAGGAGUGGAUCAGCCACCAGUAUCCAGAAAUCUGCAGCAAGAAUUCUUGAAGCAAGGGCAGAUCCCGGCCACAGUUGGGGCAGGCAUAACAACGGGUUUACCUCCAGUGAGUAUGUUUACUGAAAGCACCAAGGUACAGACUGACACACGUGACAUAGAUGUUUUUAUCUAG
rnacentral:rRNA from 1 species